UCAACAAAAUGUUUUUCCCACCCCCCAUUGCGUAUAUGAUGCCAAAGUACAAUAAUUUCUUUUCAAGGAUCAUUCAAGUUUCCUCACCAUUUCAUUAUUUCAAAACUGUUAAGACUAUUGAAAAUCAAGUCCCAUUUAUCCAUUUUUUUUAGCUCAUUCAUCUCCUUAAAGAUCCAGCCACCAAAAAAAUAAUUGUGGAGAUGGGCAACAACUAGAGUCAUGGAUUUUCUUCUUUUUCGCACAAUUCGGUAGAAACUUACGGAUACAUGUUUUUAGGUUUUAAAUAGUUUUUUGUGGGGUUUGUUUAGGUUUUAAACAUGAUCAAAUAUAUGUUCUAAACUUUACACAAGUUUUAGGUCAUUGUAGAGAUUACUCCCUUCUGUUGAAUAUAUUUAAUUUUCUUAAGUUAAUUGAUGAUGUACCACCUAUGGAACCUUCUACUCUAUUAUGAAAAAAACAAUUCAUGAAGCACAUUUCAUAUUAAUAGUCAUUGAGUCAUAAACAAAAUUCAGAACGCAGCGUGCUAACAUACUAAUGUACUAGUACAUAACAUGAUAUCCAACUUCAUUCAGCAAAUCUAACCUAAAACUAAAGGACAACACUAAGCUCAUCUAACUUUGAUCUCAAAUCUGGUAUAACUUGAGGAUUGGACAUUCAAAACAUAUAGAUGUAGGAUUUUUUUCAUCAAUCCCACCUGGAAUGUGAUUUUAGAAUCUGAAAAAAAGAGGAAUGGGAAAAACUAGCCUUUUUUUUUUUAUCAGCAAAAUGAAAUUUUAUUAAUGAAUAAAGAGUAAACAAACAAAGAGGGAAAGUGCAAAAAGCAUCAAUGCUAACCUUAAUAAUCCCAAUUAAGUUGGCACCACUAAGGAAGCUCAAUCAUUUGCGAGCACAAACCCAAAGAUUGGCAAGAAGCCAACCAAGAAGAACAAAAAAAACAGAAAAUGGCCAACAGCAGAGGCCUUAAACACCAAUAGCCAACACAGCAGCAACACACUAAAGGCCAACACACUAGACCAGCCACACCGCCAGAGAACCCCAGCAGCACAACAGAACAGAUCCUCGACACAGCAGCAACACACUAAAGGUCAACACACUAGACCAGCCACACCGCAAGAACAGCUCCCAUAUGGGAAAAACUAGCCUUAAACAGAACAUGUAAAGAGACAUGAUGGUCACAACAGUGUUACAAAGGCACUGUAACAGGCUGUUACAUAAUUGCAGUGGCCGUUACAAGUGUGAUUUUUGUCACACCACUACAGCAGGCUGUAACAGAGUGCAGAGGUUAGCAGUGUUGAUGAUGCUAAUCUGGUUUCGACAGCAGGGGGAAGUUUAUGCUGCUCAUCUGCUAGAGUGCAAUGGACAGUGGUAUUGAGGAUGUUUAUCUAUUAGAGUGCUCAUUUGGUAUGGUGUUGUUAUUUGGUUGCAGCUUCUGCUGUUGUUAUUUGGUUGCAGCUUUUGUUCAUCUGUGCACUGCUGGGCAGUCUUGAGUGUGGUUUUGUUGUUGAACAGGCUACUAUAAUGUUUGUGUCUUUGGAGAAAAUUGCAGCCCAAGCCCCAAAAUAUGCUGUUUUCUUGCUUCUAGACUAAUCAAAGAAUUAAUCAAGGAGGAUUGAUCAUCGUGGACUAAUCAAAGAAAUUGGAUUCUGCUUUUUGGUCUGUUUGGCUGUUGGCUGGGGUUGUUCUUCUGGGGGGGCUUUCUUUGUGCUCCCUGAUACGUUGAUCUAUUAUUAAUCAGGUGGAACUCUAUUUAAGGCCUGAUUGCUGUUGGGUGGGUUUCAUGGUAAGGGUAAAUGGUGUAACGGGGUGGUCCCUGGUGUGUUUGGAGAUAAUUGGUUGCUUGUUGAUUGGAAGUGCUGUUGGGUGGAGUUCAUGGUAAGGGUAAAUGGUGUAAUGGUGUGGUCCCUGGUGUGUACAUGCUGAAGUGGUAUGCUGUUGCUUUGGUUAGGUCCGUUUUUCUCGUUGGCUUCUCACCAACACUGGGGGUUGCUAGCAAAUGAUAGGAUGGGCUUUUUGGUGCCAACUUAGUUGGCAUGAUUUUGCUUAUUGUGAUGCUUUGCACUCCCCUUUUCUUUAUUGAUGUAAUUUGCUCUGUACUUUGUACUUGUUUUUUACAUCAAUAAAGUUUCUUUUUUUGCUAAUCCAAAAAAAAAAA